AAAGAUAUGUAAGUUGUUAGAAUGGAUCUGCUUCAUUCAAGCAGUGUUCCAGAAUGGAAUUGCUGCUGGCAAAUUGCAUGAUUUAAUAUAGCUCUGUUGCAGCUUUAAAAAAAAAAAACCACCAACUUGACAGAAACUGAAUAGCUGCAUCCAGGGCAAUUCAUUUCUCAAAUCAAUGCCAACUUGCAUUGUGUGAGAUAUGUGUAAAAUAAAUCCUGUCAGACAAGACUGACAAUUUAGGCAAACCAAUUACAGAUAGUUCUUUGUCUUGUUUAAUGUGGAAUGCUUCUGGAUAGCUAAAUUUACUACUCCCAACUGAAAACCAGGCCUUCCUUGAAAACAAUGCUUAGAACUGAGAAGAUUUAUCCCAAGUGUGUCUAUCUUGGAAAUUACUUCCACACAGAUAGAUGCUAGAAUUAAAAUCUGAUUCUAGAAUAGCUCUACCAGUGGGAGGUAGGUCUUAACACAAACUAGAUUUUAUGUUAACCUUCUUACUAUAAAUAGAUUACUAACUUUGGCUGUUGUCCUCAAUUUCUGGAAGCCCCUUGAUUUUUUUUUAAGAUCAAGUGAACCACAGAAACAAGAAUUUUUAGGAUGAUAAUCAUAACACGAGAAGAUACAUCCUAGAUGUUAGAGGUCAUCUAGUCCACCUCUGCUUAGUGCAGAAUCUAUUGAAGUAUUUCUAGCAGGUGGGUGGGUGUCCAGCCUCGGUUUGAAGACUUCCAGUGAAGUGGGAUGUACCACUUCAUGAAGCAGCAUAUUUUACUGCUUCACAGCUCUUCCUGUCAGGAAACCUCUCCCAGUUAUGCAUAUAAAUUGAACCCACUUUCAAUCCACUAGUUUUGGUUUUGUCCCUUUAGGGUGAAAGAGAACUACGCUGUCUCCUCUGUUUGACAGCUCUUUAGAUAUCUGAAGGCUCUCUCUCCUAUAGACUAAACAUAUUGUUUGAUCCCUUUUUCAUAGGACUUGGCUUCCAAUUCCGUUAUGAGCUAUUUGGUUUUAUUCAAAUCAUGUUUAUUAUUAUUGUUGUUAUCGUCAUCAUCAUCCACAUCAUUAUUUUGGUUCAUUGCAUAAUCAGCCACAUAUUCAGAAUAGAGUUGGCAUUUUUGUCCAACUAUUGGAUCCUUACCAUAGACCUGGGAUAAGUAGAUGUGAAUGUGAUAAAGGGUCUCAUCACUGAAUGUAAGCUGUAUUGAUUGAUGGUGAGUUUGUCAAUGCCAAUGGUGCUUGUGAUGCUCAGUGUUUUGAGAUUGCAUCCAAGGCACCUAUUAUCAUUGUUACCACCUUUGCUUAUUUUAUCAUCAUUUUUUUAAAUUUUUAUUAUUAUGGUUUAUCAUACAGUCAGCCAGGUGUUCAGACUGGAUUUGGCAUUUUUGUCCAAGGAUCUGGGAUAAACAGAUGUUGUUUGUUGGUGUUAAAGGUAUCAGUAGUAUGUAUCAUUGCAGGAUGUAAGCUGUUGCAAAUAAAGCUGCUAUUUGCAACUGCUGGUAUUCAAGGGGUACUCCAGUUGUUUGGGGAUUGCACCCAAGGCACCUAUUACCACUGGUACUAUCUUUGCUUUCUUUUGCCAAAAGACAUGGUACUGUUACUUGGUCUUUGUACUUUGUAGUUUUCUCCAGCUCUUUCUGUCAGGGUUCCAAGUAACACCCCCCAAUGAAAUCAAACUCUGAGGCUUGAAAUUCCUCAAAGCUAACUUUUAUUAGAGAUGUCAUAUUGGCACAUCUGGGAAAACCCAAAUCUGAGAGCUUCUGGGUUUUCCACACCCAAAAGAAAGUUCAAGACCUUGCCCCUCUCCCACAUGUCCACCACACAUCUAAUCAGGUACCAUCUGGAACAGAACAUACCUCCUCAUUCUUCUCAACACAGCUGCAGUACACCAUGGCCUUGACUUCCUAUAAAGAAUUUUAUUUUGACUACAUAUCUUUUUUCCUCUAUUCAAUCCUCCCUCCCAAAAUUCCCACAGUAGGAUUUGUGGCAGACCUGAAGCCUGAAGAUAGAAUGGGACUUCAUUGAGGCAGUUGAAAAUUCUGUCUUCCACAAAAAACUAUUUCUACAAGAGAGUUCAGAUUAAUUGUCUUCAUUAUUGUGUUUUCAAUGCAUUUUUUUACUUCCUUAGUACCUGGUGAACAGAAUUUAAUAGAUAAAAUGAGAUGCAAACUAUCUCACAUCAUGAAUUUUGGUAAUGGUAUACUCCUGAACAUCUUAUUCAAAUGUAACAGUUAUUGAAAUCGGUUUUAAGCCUGAGUAAAAGUGAGUAAAACAUUUUAUAAUUAUGAAAUGUUAAUUUUGUUAAGAAAACUUAAUGCAAGUUACAGGUCUAAACAGCUUAGUAUCUACUUUGUCCUUUUUAAUAAUCUUUGAGGGAAAAUCAUCAGUAAUGCAUUUUUUUCAAGAUACUCUUAUCAGUUAUUUUCAUUUGUUCCUUAGAUGCUCCUUGCCCUCCCCUCCUACACACACUCAAAACAUGUUGAAUGAAUUGCUAGUGGGCAGAUGCUAUUUAAAAUUUGGCAGGCCAGAUGUUGUGGCCUGUUGGACGCCAGCCCCUUUAGCAGCCAAAUCAGAUGAGGAGAUGGCGUGGGAGUCAGGGCCAGCAUCAAGGCAAUCUGAGAGCUCUGAGGGGGAAGAAAGAAUGGAGCUGUCAGAAAUAGAGACAGAGAUGGAGCCUGGGACAUCCAUCAGCCCUCAGAUGGAAAGUUAACAGCUCCCAGGUCUGGAGGUGGCUGAUGAAGAAGAGGAGGAACAGCUGGGUCCAGUGCCUGACGCGCGGAUAUGCAGAAGGCAGAGAAGAGGAGAGCAGUGGAAAUCUAUGGGACGGUCCUUGGGACAGAAGAGCCACUGCUGCUAGUGAAGCUCACCCUAGUUCUUGAGAUAAAAGGCAGGGGGCAGAGAUAAAUAGGUGUGGCAGACAACUAUUCAUCUCCCUGCCGGUCUGCCACUGAUACCCUGCACUUCCGAAUCCUGAGUGGAAAUGAUCAGAAUUCUUGGCAUCUGCAGCGCCUUCUGAGCAUGUGUCUCUGCUGCUGGAAAAAAGUGAGCGCACCUUCCAGGACUUCCUUUGCAAGUGUGGGAAGAGAGAGAGAGAGAGAGAGAGAGAGACUCCUGGUGUUUUAGGCCAGUUCAGGGGGAAAGGGAGCGAGCAUCACUUUCCACAUGACUUAGAGACUUUGUAGCCUGCUGUGAGAGAGUGGCUGCUGAUGCUCCUAAUAAAGGGAAUGUUUUGUUAGCUACAAAGAGCUUGUUGUGUUUGGGAGUUGGGUUACAUCAGAUUUGGAUCUGAAGUGGAUAACGAUGCAGGAUCCAAAGCUGCUUUGCUUACUUAGAUGCAAAUACUCCAUACCGAUUUCUCUGUUGCUGUAUAUAGUAAUAAUGACCUACAAGCAAUUGCCUUAUGUUGUGAAAAUGCUGAACUGAUCAUCUUUUGUAUGUGUGCCUAGCCCUUUUAUUUUUCUUUCAGAAAGGAGAGAAAUAGCUGGGCUGUGAGUCUGUUAUAAUUGUCUUCUCAGAAUACUUGGAAGCACAUCAAAGUCUGCCUGAGGAAUAAAUUAAAAAUAGAUCUUCAAAAUUUCUAUUUCAAUUAAUGGCCCACCUGCAGAGAGAAGUGAACCCAAACCAACUGUGGUCAUUAAAACUCAAAUGUAGCUUUCUGCUCAGAAAGAAAGAAAAGGAGUAGCAUUAAACGGAAAAAGAACCCAGUCUGCAUGGCAGUAUCUAUAUUAAAUAUUCUGAAAAUAAAACAUUACCAUAGUGACAGAUCUGGUAUAUGCAGAAUGCCAGAAGCGUUUCAGCUAGAUACCUGAAAAUUAGCUCAAGGUUUCAUUCCCACAACUCAUGAAACAGGUUGUUGAAAAGAAAUAAUUGCCCCAAAAUUACCCAGGGAUUUCCAUGGCUGAGAAUGAAUUUAGAGCGUCUCUAUUCUAAGGACGCAGUGGCUCAGGGGCUAGGACGUUGAGCUUGUCGAUUGAAAGAUCGGCAUUUUGGCAGUUCAAAUCCCUAGUGCUGCUGUGUAGUGUGAGCUCCCGUUACUUGUCCCAGCUUCUGCCAACCUAGCAGUUUCGAAAGCAUGUAAAAAUGCAAGUAGAAAAAAUAGGGACCACCUUUGGUGGGAAGAUAACAGUGUUCCGUGAGCCUUUGGCGUUGAGUCUUGCCGGCCACAUGACCACGGAGACGUCUUCAGACAGCGCUGGCACUUUGGCUUUGAAACGGAGAUGAGCACCGUCCCCUAAAGCCGGGAACGACUAGCACAUAUGUGCGAGGGGAA